AUCUGUGCCAAGAGUUUUAUUUAAGACUCAGAGUUCACCUCCUCCAGGAAGCCUUCCUUGAGACGCCAUUGCUCACCUGGCUCUACUUGCUUGACCAGAAGUACUUUAAAGAUUAUAUCUUUACAUUUUGUAUCUGCAGGACUUGAAAUAUAAUGAACAUUCCAGACAUAAUUGAUGAAUAAAAUAACAUCCAAUCCCUUCAUUUUAUAGAUUGGUUGAUGAAGACCUUGGACUUUUGGCCAAGAUUGAACAUCUACAGUGGAGAUUAUUUAGUGCUGUUUUCUAUUCACAGGCCUAGCCACUCCAACCUGUCUGUUGUCUUUACAUCAUAGGACUUUACCCAAGGUGCACUCUAUAAUACAUGCCAGUCCAAAUAUACAUUCUGACAGACAAUCUAGCUGCCCACAUCUGUCAGAUGGCUCUUUCUGUGACAACUGAGGAUAAGAAUUUUUUUCUUUAAGAAUUAGAGCUAAAUAUUAUGAAAUAUAAUCUAGACUUCAAGAAACUUUGACAGUUACCUGUAUCACCGUCUGUGGAUGAAUAAAAAUCUCUUUGACAUCUAAGACAAAAUGGCCAUUCACCAUCUAUCUGAAAAUUCUAGUGAGGACAGCCAUACUUUCUGAGGCAUGUUGAAUGGCUAACAUUUUAGAAUUCUUCCUUACAUUGGCUGAAAUAUGACUGAAGUUUCACAGAUUUACCCUUAUUCCUCAUGAUAAAAGUACAGAAGUUUGUUAAGUGUCCUUGGUGACAGGUUGGUCAAGAUUGGACCUUCCAUAGGAUUACUUAGUCUCACAUCCCCUCAUGGCUACGGAUCUCAUAAGGAUGGGUCUGAACAUCAAAAAUAUCACUGUUUUUAUUCAGGUACUGACAGCGCCAUAUAAAUAUGGCUUAAAGCAUGGCUAUAAGAAGAGUGAAUAUUCUAAUGACCUGUCUUGAGUGAAGCUGAUGAGACUGUAUUUUGAGUCUUACUGUACCUGUUAAGGCUAUGCAGCGUAUUUAGAGAGAAAUGUGGAAUUUGUUAUAUAAAGGUAAGUUUAAAUAGGGUGCUAAUAUCUAUGAAGGUCAACUUUGUUAAUUCAACACAAAUAAAAAUCCAAGCCAUGGUCAUUCAGCACACAUAAAGUCUAAGUAAUUUCAAAUAAAAUUACUGCUUGGCUGAAUGCUUAAGCAAUUUUGGAUUGCUGGAGUGAAUCAAAGAAUACUCAUAAUGUAAGCUCAUUAGAUUCACAGAGAGAUAUGCUGAUUUAAUUCAAGUGUUCUGCUGUCCAUUUAAACUUCACCUUCUUUUCUUACUUUGGAUUACUAGAUGUUUUUGUUAAUCUUAUUUGACAAGCUGCAUCUAGUCUUAUGAAUUUAACCUUUUUGUGAAUUGUCUUUGCUAUUAAAAAUUCUGUAACUGUCAAUCACUUGAAUCAUGUGGAGUUAUGAAAAAUGUCUGAUCCUUGAAUGUAUAUCUUUUCUCUCUCCAUCUGUAAUAUCUUACUAUGUACAGAAUAAAUUAGAAACUUAUCUGUGAUGUUAAUAUUUCUGAUAGCUUAAAUAUGUCACUUUACAUACGAUUUAUAUGUAAAAUGAUUUCUAAAUAUGAUAAAAUGUAUCCCAGACUUAAUAGAGGUUUAGCUGAUAUUUUGGCUCAGCUUUUAUUUUUUUAAUUAAUUAAUUAAUUAAUUAAUUAAUUAAUUUGUUUUUGAGACAGAGUCUUGCUCUGUCACCAGGCUGGAGUGCAGUGGCACGAUCUCAGCUCACUGCAACCUCCACCUCUUGGGUUCAAGCGAUUCCCCUGCCUUAGCCUCCCAAGUAGCUGGGAUUACAGGCAUGCACCACCACGCCUGGCAAAUUUUUUGUAUUUUAGUAGAGACGGGGUUUCACCAUGUUGGCCAAGACACUCUCGAUCUCCUGACCUCGUGAUCCACCCACCUCGGACUCUCAAAGUGCUGAGAUUACAGGCGUGAGCCACCACGCCCGGCCAGCUUUUAUUUUAUAGUUUGGUGUUUCUAUGGGAGAUUUAGGGGGAAACCUUAGUUUCUUCUUUUGUCACAUAAUGUUUCCCGCCAUAUAGGAAAAGAUAAUAUUUUAAAAAAUUACAAAAUUACCCUAAAAAGGAGUUCCCUUUUCUUAAGAUACAUACAAGUUUUCACUCAGAAAAGUUGAAUAUUUUAUAUAUAUCUCCGGGAUUUUAGAUUUUUCACUUCAUGGACUGCAUGAUAAAUCUCAUUAAAUCCAUUUGAGAAAAGGUCUGUUCCUCUGUUUAAGAAUUGUUUGAAGACUUUGCAGGAAAUGAUAGUGUGGUAGUAGAUAAAUUCUAUCCCCUGCUUCACCUCUAACCACUGCACUCUUAGACCACGGACAACUUAUAAAAAUAAACUAUCACGUUGUAUUCAAUUAUUCAGGCAAGUGGAGGUUGUAAACCACCCUCUCCCUAAUUUCUCUGCCUCCAACAUAUUAAAACUACCACAUCUUGGCUCCAAGGAUUCAUGGACUGUUGAAUUUGCCCCUACCAAGCAGAGAUGGUGGACAGCAUUAUGAAUAAUAGCUGAUUUUAUUUUAAGUGGGAAUAAAGAGAACUAUAAAAAUCCUUUAACUGUUCCCUCCUACUUAUUAGUGUCUCAAAAUUUUUGACUCAUAACACAUAGAAAAAUCACAAGAUUUGCUUCAAAACAAAAAUAUUAAAAUAUUAAAACCCCAAGUGCAUGGUUUUCUAUAACGUAAUUCAGUUAUUGUAAACUCUGCUUUGUCUCAUAGGAAUACAGUUAUUCACUAAGAACCUUCAGAAGAAAGGAAAAAUAAACAUAUAAAUGUUAAGAUUUGUCCCAUUUCAUACCUCAUCUAGCAUGGUUUUUUUUCAAAUUACUACAUACAUGGCCCUUUUUUUUGCUAGAACUCUUUCCCCUGGAGACUGAAUUGUAGAGAUAACACAGAAUGGAAUGAUUUUUAUUUUAUAAUUAAAGACAGCUUCUUGGGUGUUAUAAUAAUGGUAAAAUAUAGACUGUGUCUAAAGCAAAAUACAGCAAACAAAUGCAAUAUUGGGGCUAUCUGGGCUUAAAAUGCAUUUUCUAUUGUAAUUACCUAACCAUUUCAGCAAAAAAGGGAAUUUUAUUAAGAUUUGAGUUAACUCAUUUAAUCUGGCCAUCUAUCGUUGUCAUUUUAAAUAUCCAUUUCAUUUUGAGUAUUUGGGCACACAUUUUGUUUAUAGGUACAUGGGAAAAUCUAGCACAUAAUUAAUAUAUUAAACUGGCUGUCUUUAUAUCACAACAUAGUCUAUUUAAUCUAUUAUGUUGUUUAACCAAAACCAAACUAUAAAAAGCAAGCAUGGAUAUAGUAGAUUUUUUCUCAGAAAAAAAGCUUGACUAUUAUUUUUAUGAAAUUGCAAAGAAUUACAAUAUUCUUUCACACUGCGUUUCAAGAAAAUGAGCAAAGGAUAUUUAUAGACAUGUUUUUGAUAGAUACCCCAGUGACAACGGAAGUCACUUUUAAAUUAUAAGGUAAAAUGUGAAACUAAUAGAUAAAAUUUGACAUGUUAAGAGUUGCAUCUUCCUCAAAUAUAAAGAUAAGAACCAAUGUAGUUUGAAAAUAGCAAAAGCGCUUUCACUAUCCUAUGGACAGAUAUUUUGGAAAACCUAUUACUUUUACCAAUUAAAUUUAAAACUGCACUGCCUGGUUGUUUCUUUGUUUAUAUAUUUGUAUUCCAUCUUAUUUUAAUAAAGUUUUAAGAGGAA
rnacentral:lncRNA from 1 species